rnacentral:rRNA from 1 species
CAGUAGCCGCGGUAAUGCGAAGGGUGCAAGCGUUACUCGGAAUUACUGGGCGUAAAGCGUGCGUAGGUGGUGGUUUAAGUCCGUUGUGAAAGCCCUGGGCUCAACCUGGGAAUUGCAGUGGAUACUGGGUCACUAGAGUGUGGUAGAGGAUAGUGGAAUUUCCGGUGUAGCAGUGAAAUGCGUAGAGAUCGGAAGGAACAUCUGUGGCGAAGGCGACUAUCUGGGCCAACACUGACACUGAGGCACGAAAGCGUGGGGAGCAAACAGGAUUAGAUACCCCUGUAGUCCCUGUCUCUUAUAC